AAUAAAUAGACGUCUUUAGCCUGCAAUACAGAGUAACAAGAGUUAUUCAUAAACAGGACAUCACUCUGGCCUUGAGCUUUGGGUGAGCUCCGCUCCCACACAUAGCUAGGAAGCAGCCUUAUGAAGAUUCCACUUUUUCUGUAGAAACGUUAGUGAAAAA